GAGAAAUGCCCAGCACGUCUUCACUCUGUAUUUCCUAGACAGUGCACGAACCUCCUCUGGGAAGUGGUGGAGGGGAGCAGCUGGCAUCUCCU
rnacentral:miRNA from 1 species